UCGAGAAUCUUCGGCAAUGGGCGAAAGCCUGACCGAGCGACGCCGCGUGGAGGAUGAAGGCCUUCGGGUUGUAAACUCCUGUCACGGUCGAAGAAGGGUCUUGUAGUGAAUAGCUACAGGACUUGACGCUAGAUCGAGAGGAAGGCAUGGCUAACUCUGUGCCAGCAGCCGCGGUAAGACAGAGAUGCCAAGCGUUGUUCGGAAUCACUGGGCAUAAAGGGCGCGUAGGCGGCUUCGUAAGUCAGGGGUGAAAUCCCCCGGCUCAACCGGGGAAUUGCUUUUGAUACUGCGAGGCUUGAGGUCGGAAGGGGAAAGUGGAAUUCCUGGUGUAGCGGUGAAAUGCGUUGAUAUCAGGAGGAACGCCGGCGGCGAAAGCGACUUUCUGGUCCGAUUCUGACGCUGAUGCGCGAAAGCUAGGGGAGCAAACGGGAUUAGAUACCCCCGUAGUCC
rnacentral:rRNA from 1 species